rnacentral:rRNA from 1 species
UGGGAUGAUGUCAAGUCAGCAUGGCCUUUAUAUCCUGGGCUACACACACGCUACAAUGGCCAACACAAUAGGUUGCUAAGCCGCGAGGUGGCGCCAAUCCAUAAAGUUGGUCUCAGUUCAGAUUGUAGGCUGCAACCCGCCUGCGUGAAGAUGGAGUUGCUAGUAACCGCAGGUCAGCUAUACUGCGGUGAAUACGUUCCCGGGGCUU